rnacentral:rRNA from 1 species
GACGAACGCUGGCGGCGUGCUUAACACAUGCAAGUCGAGCGGUAAGGCCCUUUCGGGGGUACACGAGCGGCGAACGGGUGAGUAACACGUGGGUGACCUGCCCUCAGCUCUGGGAUAAGCCUGGGAAACCGGGUCUAAUACUGGAUAUGACUCCAUGACGCAUGUUGUGGGGUGGAAAGCCUUGUGCGGCUGAGGAUGGGCCCGCGGCCUAUCAGCUUGUUGGUGGGGUGANGGCCUACCAAGGCGACGACGGGUAGCCGGCCUGAGAGGGCGACCGGCCACACUGGGACUGAGACACGGCCCAGACUCCUACGGGAGGCAGCAGUGGGGAAUCUUGCGCAAUGGGCGAAAGCCUGAUGCAGCGACGCCGCGUGAGGGAUGACGGCCU